rnacentral:rRNA from 1 species
GAAGGGCCCGAGCGUUGCGCGGAAUCACUGGGCUUAAAGCGUACGUAGGCGGACAAGCAGGCAUCUUGUGAAAGCCCUCGGGCUCAACCGAGGAAUUGCUUGGUGAACCGUUUGUCUUGAGGCGAGUAGGGGCUGUCGGAACGAUAGGUGGAGCGGUGAAAUGCGUUGAUAUCUAUCGGAACGCCAAAGGCGAAGGCAGACAGCUGGGCUUGUUCUGACGCUGAGGUACGAAAGCGUGGGGAGCGAACGGGAUUAGAUACCCCGGUAGUCCACGCCGUAAACGAUGUGCACUAGAUCGAGGGGGUUCUGACGCCACUCUCGGUCGAAGCAAAAGUGUUAAGUGCACCGCCUGGGGAGUACGGCCGCAAGGCUA